UCAAGUCCUCAUGGUCUUCAUAAAGUGGGCUACACAUUUGCUACAAUGAAUGAAUCAAUUGUAACGAAAUUUUUCUAAUCGAAAUUCAUUCUAAGUCCUGAUUAGAAUCUGAAAUUGAUUCUAUGAGGUCGGAACCGCGAGUAAUCGAAAAUCAGACAAGUUUCGGUGAAGAUUUUGUUUAUCCAAACAGAUAAACUUUUUUUAGUUGCUCUCGUACUCAUCGCUCGUCAAACGCUUAAAGAAAGAAAACUUCGAAAAAAGAUCUUAGGCAUUCUUUAUGCAACUCGCAUUUCUAAAGCACUUUCAAUUUUUAUAGUGGUUGACUUUUGAUAGGCGUUAAGUCGAAACAUAGUUGGAGUAGGGGAACCUGUUCCUAAA
rnacentral:rRNA from 1 species